rnacentral:rRNA from 1 species
UACGAAGGGGGCUAGCGUUGCUCGGAAUCACUGGGCGUAAAGCGCACGUAGGCGGCUUUCUAAGUCAGACGUGAAAUCCCUCGGCUUAACCGGGGAACUGCGUCUGAUACUGGAUGGCUCGAGUUUGGGAGAGGGAUGCGGAAUUCCAGGUGUAGCGGUGAAAUGCGUAGAUAUCUGGAGGAACACCGGUGGCGAAGGCGGCAUCCUGGACCAAUACUGACGCUGAAUAGCGAAAGCCAGGGGAGCAAACGGG